ensembl:ncRNA lncRNA:CR32553 long non-coding RNA:CR32553
GUCUGCGGCAAGGAGGCCGGCCGAUCAGUCGAUUCGCUCGCCGUCUUGGGAAACCAUAAUUUCCGACAGCCAUUCACAAUUGAUCAACGAAUUUUGGUUUUCCAGGACCACAAUAUCCGUUUAAUUUGAAUGUGCUGCACUUCCCCAUCGCCUCCGCUCAACUCGCAGCCGCCUCGUUUCAUCUUCGGAGGGACUUCGUCUUGGAUUCGGCACUGGGUUACUGGGUCUGCACAUCACAGCAUCUGCUCGGUGGCGACUAUGACGUCAGCGGCGGCGGGUAAAUGGCCUCUGCAGGCUCGUCACAUGUUGCUGUUGCGCCCAGCAACAUCCGAGCCACGGAUGGGGAGGCGCACCCCCGCCUCCCCCUCCCUUGCAGCUCCAACAACAAGAGCAACGAAGAGGCGCAGGGUCAACAAUGUUUGGGCUGCCCCUGAAAGUAGGCAGCGUUAUUUUUUUGCCCUGCUCCGCGGAGAAUAAACCGAGAAAUGUGGCAGGCGAGUUUAAAUUACUUUAGCUGGACAUUGCUGGAGUUCGGAGUUGGCAACUUUACAUAUUAUGAACUUUCCGUGCAAGUGGUCCAAUAUAAUUAGAUGCCUGAAAGUGGACAGCAGUUCGAGCGGAAAACAAAGCUUUUCAUUUUAAACUGAAAAUAGUUGGAUUUUAAUUAAAAACUUUGCUCUGCCACUUAGCUGUUAAACUGUGUUUAUUGUCUCGCCUGCAAGUUGUCGGUAGAAAUUGAAGAGCACGGAAAAAUUGCAGAGAUGCAAAUCACUUUCAAACGACUUUUGAAUAGUAGAUUUGACUUUAGGUUCACAAUUUAAUCGAACUUUCCCCUUUUUUUUCCUUUAUAACUUCUACCAUGUACAAGGCGCCUAAAGGUAAAUUUUUUUAAACUAUUUAUAUGAUAGUCAAACACACACUGUUUAAAUGUAUUUAUUUUAAUCUAAAAUAACAUAUUGUUCAGACAUAUCUUGUGUAAAUUUUUAUACAAUGGGAACUAAAGUGCAAUAAAUGCAUUACUAAUAAAGAUGAAACACAUAAAUUUCAUAAUAAAAACAUCUAACUU